AUACCAAUGGAUUCAUAUCUCUUUGUCGCCGGUAUUUCAAAUUAUGUGAUUUUUUAAAUAAAAAGUGAAUUUGGUGUACACUACUCCUUCGUAAAUUCUUGUUUGUUCAUAGCUCACCCUCUCCUAAAAGGGCAAUUUAAUACCACACAUCAGCACACUGUCGCCCAGCAGCCGAACCGGCAGAAGUAAUAUUGAUUAACUCGAUAACAGUUAAUGAAAUUUGAAGUAAAUUUUGCCAAUGGUGUCCCGGCGAAUUGGAUCAAAGAGUGACGCUCCAGGGCGCGACGCUACCGUCUUCCCUAGAGGAAACCUGGAUCGUCUCCUGAAGUUGAUGUGUAGGUACCCAAGGGAGUCAACAGCCUCUGGUUUACGAGCUAGGUAUUCUAAUGCUAGAGGCUCCAGCUGGGUACGACCUGACACACAAGCUAUGAAACUUUUUUAUGCACCUAUUGCGUGGCAUCUCGGAGGCGUAGGGGACCAGAUUCCUAUAUACCGUACCUAUAUAUACUAGCAUACCUCAGCUCAACCUAAAACCAACCCAAGGUAAUUUGAGUUUGUGGCCCGUUUAAAUCAAAGAAGAUUCCAGAUGAAAUAUUGCAAGACGCAACUUGGUCCUAAAGCUUCUUCGGAUUCUCCCAGGCACCUUCGAAUAUCUGGUGCCGUAUUAAGUACUAACUCUAGAAGAUCGUCCGAUGUCCAGGCAGUUGGCGCCAUGCCCAAGUGACGGUCUUUUUGUCGUUUAAUUAUAAUGGGACUGAAAAAAUACCGGCGAAAGGAUAUGGAUAUGGUGAUAAAGCAGCUGAGCCUUUAAAGAAAUGAAAAUCACGGUUCUCGUCCCGGCGUGGUUCCAAAGCGGUAUUUAGGUACUUUCACAGCAUUGUAAGACCAUAUUUUCGAAAUAUAGGAAUAGAAGAGGACUUGGAAAAUGGGGAGAAUAGAAGAAGGAAUAGAAAAUUGAGACUGUAGAGGAGUUGAAUGAAAAUGUGUUUAAACCAGCGAAGGGAGAUUUAUAAGUUGAAUUGCUGGUGAAUAUUGACAAGUCUUACGGGGAGGUUUUGCAUUUUUGAGAGGACAUGCAGACAUUUUACGAGGGGCCAAUGCAGGGCUCAUUAUGAGAAAGCGCUUUUCUUCAACUGAAUAUUCCUUCUAUAAAUGGAAUAUAUUGUGUUCUAAAUACUCUUGGUUGGCCUCUCUGCUUUGGAUAACUGGAAUUUGCUGGUAAAAUAUUAGUAUUUAUUUUGCUGCUUCUGGCUGUUGCUUCCCUCCUGCUCCUCCUCAGCUUCAAGAGGAUUCAGCAAAAAUUCCUCCUGCUCCUCCACCAUAUACCAAAAGUUUGCUUCUGUUUUAUUUGUAUAGGCGUUUAUUUUUAUUCUGGUACUGUUGUAAAACUUUGAUAAUCUGGACAAACGUUAAAUUUUAAAAAUGUCAUUGUACUGCAGUAAAAGUUAUAUAGUAGCUGAUAAUUUCUCCAUCAUUUCUAAAAUCAUACUUUGAAUUUCAUUUAAAAUGUUAAUAAUGUAAACAAAUGAUCACUUUAAUUACUGUUGUUAAUAAUUAUUUGCCAAUCAUAUUUUUCACUUACAUAUUUUGACACAAAUAACAAUUCCAAUAUACUGACUACGCUGUCAGUUAUUUUUUUAUCUGUAUUAUUUUAUGUACUAACUUUUGUAGUGUAAUACUUAUGGCACAUCAUUUUUUAAAUUUCUUAUUGGUUCUAAUUAACAGCCACUAGAAUAUCCAGAUUAUCACAGUUCUUUAUAUUUUACUUGCGCAAAAGCGUCACUAUAUUCUGGCAAUAUGAAUACAUUAUAAGGCAUCUUUAUCGUUUUGGGUAAUACCCUAAUUUUAGAAUUUUU
rnacentral:lncRNA from 1 species